UUNUGAACUGGGUGACUAGAGUGUGUCAGAGGGAGGUAGAACUCCACGUGUAGCAGUGAAAUGCGUAGAGAUGUGGAGGAAUACCGAUGGCGAAGGCAGCCUCCUGGGAUAACACUGACGUUCAUGCCCGAAAGCGUGGGUAGCAAACAGGAUUAGAUACCCUGGUAGUCCACGCCCUAAACGAUGUCGAUUAGCUGUUGGGCAGCAUGACUGCUUAGUAGCGAAGCUAACGCGUGAAAUCGACCGCCUGGGGAGUACGGUCGCAAGAUUAAAACUCAAAGGAAUUGACGGGGACCCGCACAAGCGGUGGACGAUGUGGAUUAAUUCGAUGCAACGCGAAGAACCUUACCUGGUCUUGACAUGUACGGAACCCUCCAGAGACGGAGGAGUGCCUUCGGGAGCCGUAACACAGGUGCUGCAUGGCUGUCGUCAGCUCGUGCCGUGAGAUGUUGGGUUAAGUCCCGCAACGAGCGCAACCCUUGUCAUUAGUUGCCAUCAUUAAGUUGGGCACUCUAAUGAGACUGCCGGUGACAAGCCGGAGGAAGGUGGGGAUGACGUCAAGUCCUCAUGGCCCUUAUGACCAGGGCUUCACACGUCAUACAAUGGUCGGUACAGAGGGUAGCCAAGCCGCGAGGCGGAGCCAAUCUCACAAAACCGAUCGUAGUCCGGAUUGCACUCUGCAACUCGAGUGCAUGAAGUCGGAAUCGCUAGUAAUCGCAGGUCAGCAUACUGCGGUGAAUACGUUCCCGGGUCUUGUACACACCGCCCGUCACACCAUGGGAGUGGGGGAUACCAGAAG
rnacentral:rRNA from 1 species